GGUCUUGUUUUGCCACCCAGGCUGGAGUGCAGUAAUGUAAUCUUGGCUCACCGCAGCCUCAACCUCCUGGGCUCAAGCAAUCCUCCCAUCUCAGCCUCCCUAGUGGCUGGAACUACAGAAAGGGUACACUCGCCAGCAGUUUUGCCACGAGAGUACACCGAACAAAGAGACAGGGUCAUUUGUAACCUGAUGCGUCCACCCUACUGCUGUGUCCGGUUUCCAUUGGCUGGAACGGGACCUCACAUUCUGUAUUUGUCCUGAUUGGGAAGCAACUUAAAACUUUUUAAAAGAGGCGAAGGCAGAAGAGAACAAAGGAAGGAGAAAGUAACUUGUGGAAUGGUGAGAAAGGCAUGAGGCGAAUUCUCAGCCGUGACAAGGCUGAAGGCCAGCAGGAACAGGCUCUAGCGAAAUGGGUGCUGUGUCCCCUUCCUGCAUGUGGCAGAAAGUUGCAAAGGUAUGAGAGAGGAGACAAAUGGAAACCAUUCUCCCUUAUCUCCAGCUCCAAAUUUCCCUUCCCACUCUUACUGGUUUCUUAGGUGUUGUUCUAGAGACUUUAUUUUCUACAGGGCGUUUGGGCUGGGGAAGGGUCCUGUACACUCGCAACAGGAGGUGUAGAAUGAGCCCUGCAUUGAAUGUGUAAGCAUCCAAAGCUGUCACUGAGGUGAGAAGAGCCUUCAUUGGCAGCCUCAAAGAGAAAGGUGUGCUUGGAUGUAUGCACUGGACAUGCCGCCUAGGCCUACUGGACAUGCCACCUAGGCCUGCUGGACAGACUGCAGAACUGAGGCCCUGCAACUGGCAAUCUCCCAAUGGCCUUCUCACCUCUCAGUAUUUUUCCCUAUUUGUUUUCUACGUGGACUCCAGAAGAGUUCUAACAAGCCAAGCUAUAAAGCAUGGCUUUAAAAGAAAAACAACUGUAAGGUCAAAUCCAGCUUAAGUGACGUAAAUUUACAAGCAAAUCAGAUUCUGGAACCUCACCUUUACAAAUCUUGCAAAUCAACGUGCAGGGAAUGUGUUUGUUUCUACAUCAGAGGCACAACUGGGCAUCAUACAGCCUAGAAGCUAAUAAAUAGAGCACAUGGACAAGG